rnacentral:lncRNA from 1 species
GAGAGUUCAAAUGCUGCAGCUGUUGAUAGUGAAAAAUUGGGUAAUGAGGAGAAUAUUGGUUCUGGGGAAUCAAAGAAGGGCUUGGGUGAAUUGAGGAUUUCGGAGAGGGUGGUAGUUGAGAGUGAAGGUUCAAGUGGUGACUCACCGCCUGUUAGCAGUGGAAGUCCUCAGCCGCCUCCUCCACCUGUUCCACCUCCAAAACCUUUGGCAGCAAACUCAAGUUCAAGGAGAUCAGUCUCAGGAAGUCCAAAUGCUGCAAGGAGUGGGUCCUCUAGAAGAGCGGUUGCCUGGCCUGUUGUUACCACGAGGACUUCACCAUCCGGGUCAAGGCCU